UGUUUUCUAUCUAAAGCCAUGUUUAGGCUUGGAUUUUUAGUUGAGUCAUGUACUAGUACUGCCAAGCAAAAAGGAUCCACUUAGGUGCGAUAGAAAGCCUAACCUAACUCCAAACCACCACACUUAAUUGCUUGAGCCUUAGCCUUUCUUCAAUACCCACGGUCAUCACUCAUCUCUAGGAAUGGAGGAGGAUGGAUGAUAGUCUUGAAAAUAGAAUUGUGCAUGCAUGGAAGAAAGAAGAAAGAAGAAGAAAUCCUAAAAAGGUGAGUGCCACCAUGGGCGAAGCCCUGAGAGAUCCUUUUUCUUCUACUUUCAUCCUGCUUCUUGAUCUAUUUCUUAUUGGAGCCACUUUCUUGACCCCGUCAUCCUUCAUCUCGAUACCUUGGUGAAGCGCGGCCUGAGGAUUCUUAUUGGAUUGGAGAGAACAAACUCGCAGAGGUAAUUAUCCGACUAGUUCUAUCACCAUCUUUUGCCCAGCCCUCGUUUCUUCAUCCAUCAAUCAUUAUCUCCACCCAUCAUCAUUACCAUCGUUGCCAUCUAUCACAUCCUUGGAACCCUAGUUUACUGGCAGUAUUUUUUUAUUGUUCUGUUGUGGUUAUUUUCAGUUUGCUGCCCUAGUUAUAUUUCAUUGAUUUGGCUUCAUUAAUAAAAUAUUUAUCAUGUUUUGUUUUACGUUCACAUACCUGUAUGAUAAUCUUUUAGGAUGAUAAGUAUUUGCUGAAGUAUCUAAUCAAUCGCACCAUAAUUGAGUAUUAUGAAAUCAAUCUACACCUGUAGUAAUCGAUUAUAGAUUGCACCAGAUAAUAAUGAGCAAACACUAGGCUACUAAUUAUAACCGGAACCGUUUAGUGUGGUAUAUCAACAGUAGACUAUGGGCCUAGUAAGUUUUGAGUUCUAUACGUCUAGCUAUAACACUUAUCCCAUGCCAGAAUCAAAAUUGGCCUACAUCAAGGCCCAUCAGCACUCCUGUCUCUAAGCUAUCUCCAAGUUAUUUUUUCACAUACUUAAUUUAGCAUAUAAGACCAUUUCUCCCCUCAUCAAUUAAAACUACAUUGUUCAUGCUAAUCUUUUAAGAGAAUAAGGGUGUGUAGGUCUAAAGUUGGAUUAAUAACAUAGGCAUGAGAGUAUUUCCCAUGCUAGUUAUCUCCGUACAUGUCACGUAAGGUGCUAAGUAUAGCCUGCAAUGUUCUCAAUGAAUGUUUACCAUGACAAUAAAACAAAUGACCGUUUCAAACAAGGUAUAAAAAUCAGAUGGCAAAAGUG
rnacentral:lncRNA from 1 species